rnacentral:rRNA from 1 species
UACGGGGGGGGCAAGCGUUGUUCGGAAUUACUGGGCGUAAAGGGCUCGUAGGCGGCCAACUAAGUCAGACGUGAAAUCCCUCGGCUUAACCGGGGAACUGCGUCUGAUACUGGAUGGCUUGAGUUUGGGAGAGGGAUGCGGAAUUCCAGGUGUAGCGGUGAAAUGCGUAGAUAUCGGGAGGAACACCUGUGGCGAAAGCGGCGCACUGGACCAUAACUGACGCUGAUGCGCGAAAGCUAGGGGAGCAAACAGG